rnacentral:rRNA from 1 species
UGGGGAAUAUUGCACAAUGGGCGAAAGCCUGAUGCAGCAACGCCGCGUGAGCGAUGAAGGCCUUCGGGUCGUAAAGCUCUGUCCUCAAGGAAGAUAAUGACGGUACUUGAGGAGGAAGCCCCGGCUAACUACGUGCCAGCAGCCGCGGUAAUACGUAGGGGGCUAGCGUUAUCCGGAAUUACUGGGCGUAAAGGGUGCGUAGGUGGUUCUUUAAGUCAGAAGUGAAAGGCUACGGCUCAACCGUAGUAAGCUUUUGAAACUGGAGAACUUGAGUGCAGGAGAGGAGAGUAGAAUUCCUAGUGUAGCGGUGAAAUGCGUAGAUAUUAGGAGGAAUACCAGUUGCGAAGGCGGCUCUCUGGACUGUAACUGACACUGAGGCACGAAAGCGUGGGGAGCAAACA